GACGAACGCUGGCGGCGUGCUUAACACAUGCAAGUCGAACGGGCCUUGUCCCCUUUUUUUUGGGGGUGGGGUUAGUGGCGAACGGGUGAGUAACACGUGAGUAACCUGCCCCUCACUUCUGGAUAACCGCUUGAAAGGGUGGCUAAUACGGGGUGUUCUGGCCUGCUCGCAUGGGUGGGUUUGGAAAGAUUCGACCGGUUUUGGUUGGUUUGGUGGGGGAUGGGCUCGCGGCCUAUCAGCUUGUUGGUGGGGUGAUGGCCUGCCAAGGCUUUGACGGGUAGCCGGCCUGGGAGGGUGGGCGGUCACACUGGGACUGAGACACGGCCCAGACUCCUACGGGAGGCAGCAGUGGGGAAUAUUGCACAAUGGGCGCAAGCCUGAUGCAGCGACGCCGCGUGAGGGAUGGAGGCCUUCGGGUUGUGAACCUCUUUCGCCAGUGAAGAAGGUCCUGCUCUUUGUGGUGGGGUUGACGGUAGCUGGGUUAAUGAAGCGCCGGCUAACUACGUG
rnacentral:rRNA from 1 species